rnacentral:rRNA from 1 species
CAGUGGGUACGGGCAGACUAGAGUGCGGUAGGGGAGAUUGGAAUUCCUGGUGUAGCGGUGGAAUGCGCAGAUAUCAGGAGGAACACCGAUGGCGAAGGCAGAUCUCUGGGCCGUAACUGACGCUGAGGAGCGAAAGCGUGGGGAGCGAACAGGAUUAGAUACCCUGGUAGUCCACGCCGUAAACGUUGGGCGCUAGAUGUAGGGACCUUUCCACGGUUUCUGUGUCGUAGCUAACGCAUUAAGCGCCCCGCCUGGGGAGUACGGCCGCAAGGCUAAAACUCAAAGGAAUUGACGGGGGCCCGCACAAGCGGCGGAGCAUGCGGAUUAAUUCGAUGCAACGCGAAGAACCUUACCAAGGCUUGACAUACACCGGAAACGGCCAGAGAUGGUCGCCCCCUUGUGGUCGGUGUACAGGUGGUGCAUGGUUGUCGUCAGCUCGUGUCGUGAGAUGUUGGGUUAAGUCCCGCAACGAGCGCAACCCUCGUUCUAUGUUGCCAGCGCGUUAUGGCGGGGACUCAUAGGAGACUGCCGGGGUCAACUCGGAGGAAGGUGGGGAUGACGUCAAAUCAUCAUGCCCCUUAUGUCUUGGGCUUCACGCAUGCUACAAUGGCCGGUACAAAGGGCUGCGAUACCGUAAGGUGGAGCGAAUCCCAAAAAGCCGGUCUCAGUUCGGAUUGAGGUCUGCAACUCGACCUCAUGAAGUCGGAGUCGCUAGUAAUCGCAGAUCAGCAACGCUGCGGUGAAUACGUUCCCGGGCCUUGUACACACCGCCCGUCAAGUCAUGAAAGUCGGUAACACCCGAA